UACGUAGGGGGCGAGCGUUGUCCGGAGUUACUGGGCGUAAAGCGCUUGUAGGCGGUCCACCAAGUUUGGGGUGACAGUUGCCGACUUAAUCGGCAAAGUGCCUCAAAGACUGGCGGACUUGAGGGCCACAGAGGGACAUGGAACUCCAGGUGUAGUGGUGAAAUGCGUAGAUAUCUGGAAGAACACCAAAGGCGAAGGCAGUGUCCUGGGUGGUCGCUGACGCUGAGACGCGAAAGCGUGGGGAGCGAACAGG
rnacentral:rRNA from 1 species